UACGAAGGGUGCAAGCGUUACUCGGAAUUACUGGGCGUAAAGCGUGCGUAGGUGGUGAGUUAAGUCUGUCGUGAAAGCCCCGGCUCAACCUGGGAAUGGCGAUGGAUACUGGCUCGCUAGAGUGCGGUAGAGGAGAGUGGAAUUCCCGGUGUAGCAGUGAAAUGCGUAGAGAUCGGGAGGAACAUCAGUUGCGAAGGCGGCUCUCUGGACCAGCACUGACACUGAGGCACGAAAGCGUGGGGAGCAAACAGG
rnacentral:rRNA from 1 species